rnacentral:rRNA from 1 species
GAUGAACGCUGGCGGCGUGCCUAAUACAUGCAAGUCGAGCGAACGGACGAGAAGCUUGCUUCUCUGAUGUUAGCGGCGGACGGGUGAGUAACACGUGGAUAACCUACCUAUAAGACUGGGAUAACUUCGGGAAACCGGAGCUAAUACCGGAUAAUAUUUUGAACCGCAUGGUUCAAAAGUGAAAGACGGUCUUGCUGUCACUUAUAGAUGGAUCCGCGCUGCAUUAGCUAGUUGGUAAGGUAACGGCUUACCAAGGCAACGAUGCAUAGCCGACCUGAGAGGGUGAUCGGCCACACUGGAACUGAGACACGGUCCAGACUCCUACGGGAGGCAGCAGUAGGGAAUCUUGCGCAAUGGGCGAAAGCCUGACGGAGCAACGCCGCGUGAGUGAUGAAGGUCCUCGGAUCGUAAAACUCUGUUAUUAGGGAAGAACAUAUGUGUAAGUAACUGUGCACAUCUUGACGGUACCUAAUCAGAAAGCCACGGCUAACUACGUG